rnacentral:snRNA from 1 species
AUCGAAUAUCCGGAACACAA